AGAAAUUUAUCUGCCAUCUCUGUUCCUCAGCUUUCUCCCAGAGAUUUAACUCCUCUAAAGCUCUGUGAUACCUCCAGAUCCCAUCAGUAGGUGAGGCCCAUUCAUCAAACCUGUGAUGCGGUGUUUCAGCCAUGAGGAGGUAGGGGAAAUUACUUGAAGACUCGACAUUGGCAUUGAGCAGUAGAAUGUGAGACCAACAAGCCGCUGGACACAGAGGAUCCAGGGGGAAAUCAGUUGUUAGCUAGGAGGAUUUGCAUGUGGUUGACUGCUCUUACCAAAGGAUGAUGUAAACCUGGAGGUACAAGAUAUCAUAGACCACAUCUGACAUGACAACACAGCAAGGAAGCUGAGAACCUUUGAUGACCAGCUGGCUACUGCUACAAAAAUUAGAAAAAAAUAGCAAGAAGGAACAGAAAAAUCCAUAUAAAAGUGUAAACAAGCCAGACACAGUGGCACACAUCUGUAAUCCACUCUUGGAUUGGAUUGUGAAUAGAUUUAUAUUCAGAAUAUCAACACAGCAUAAACAUAUUGCCUGGCAAUUUAGCCAUUUUGUAAGACCCUAUCUUAAAAUAAAAAAUAA